UUCUUUCCAAAUGAUUCUCUCAAGUAUUUCAUCAACUAGAAAACAAUGAUACAAUUGAAAAAAAAGUACAUAUCUUAUCACUAUCAGUAGUCAAAGGAAGCUACAUAACGCAAAAAUUGAUGAAUAAAAGUUCACUGCAAAAUUCGUCAAGACACAUAACAUCAAAUCUAGAAUCCUUGUAACAAAACAUGAACAAGAAGAUUGUAGGGAUCAACUUCCACGAGAAGUUUCAGCACCCAAGAGAGAAAUAUUUAGAAAACAAGUUCAUGUGGUUUCAUGCCUGCCUUCAGAGAAAACCUUGCAGCUAAGUAUGUCUUUAAGUCUGAGACUGCCUCGAUGGACUUCAGCAGAGCUGAGUCCACUGCCUUCUGGUCAUCUUUUUUGUCCUGUGGAAGUGCACUUUUUUCCUAUAUUGCAACAACGGAGACCAAAAAUUAGGGUAAAGAAAUGAUAAAAUUUGAAAUAUUUGAACAGUGGAAAAAAAAUGAAAAAACUAUGAACCUCCUUCUCUGCCUCAAAAAAUUCUCCUUCUCCCUUCUUUUUCUUCUUUUGAACUUCCUUGGAGAAAUAUUUGUCAUCAAACUUCUCCACGCUGACCCCUGUAAUGUCCACCUUGGUGGAGGUUGCAAUCACGUAUGACUGAUUCACACGUCUUAAAGGAACGCCAUUGACUUUGAAUGGACCUAAAAUGACAACCGUUAAAUUCAGAUAGUCGGCAGGUUCAAGAAUUUCGGAUCUAAAAUCCCAGACCACAUCUAAUCAUUAGUUUAUAUGCAACCCUUCUCCCAAACAUACAAUACAAUCCGCAUCAUCAAGCCAAUCCCUCCCAGAUAUUGCACAUGAAGCUUAGGAAAUUAAGACAUGUCUUUGAUCAAGAAACCACUUAAGGCUCAAUUGAGGAAACAAGGCUCAUUAAAAAACAAGGCCCAAUUGAGGGAAAAAAUGAAAGCAUACAAGGAAAAACAAAAAAAUCAAGCACAAAAGACUCAUUAAAGAAACAAGGCCCAAUUGAUCAAAAUAGUGCAUAUAGUAGAUAAACAAAUAAAUCAAAUUUGAAGUCUAAAGGGAAAACCUAAAAAGGGCCCAAACAUCACUAGACUCCUUAUCCAGCCCACCAAACACUAGAUUGUUUUUUUACCCACAAAGAUUCCAUAUGAGAGUACACACCCUCGCCAACCACAAGAAGCAACCUUUCUCACAAAAGACCAGACGCAAUAGGAAAUCACCCAUUAUAACGUUGAUGUUCGUCUCUGGGGCCAAAUUGGAGGCAUGAAAAUUUUCAGUAGUAUGUAAAGACCAUUGCAAGGGAUAUGGGCAGAAAUCAGAAUGCAAGGCACGAGACAUUUCAAUAUUAAUUGGUUCCGAGGUUAAGCUAUUAAUACUACCAAAAUCUAAAUCCCAAGGAAUCCUACUUCUAAUUUCUCAAUGGUAAACACUAUGCCGGCAACACAUUAAGAUAAUAUCAGUUUGUAAAGCUUAAGCCAACAAUUGCUAAGACGCUAAGCCAUAAAAAAUGACACUGCCAAAUGCAAAUCUAAUCCAAAGUACACAAUGAAUGUAAAGAAGAGAAAACCUAAUCCCCAUGUAUAAAUAAUAAAACCUCCCAAACCCCAACACGAUGUGCUACUACAUAAAAAAUUAUGAAGACAGGCAAUUACAGGGAAUGCUGAAAACUCACCAGUCACUAAAAGCAACCCAGAUGGAAGUUGCUUCAAGAACACAACUCUCUUUCCCUUGAAUCUUCCAGUAAGAAUGAUAAGCACAGUUCCAGGAGUAAUACUAGACCUGCAAGCAGAAUAAUUAAUCGAAAUGGACCAAAUGUUUAUUAUUUGGAAAAUGAGCAACAUUAAUUCACUUCACGCAAUUUAAAACCGAAAACUCAAAUCAAGUGUGAAAUAAAUCCAUCUAUUAUGGCAGUCACCUAUGUGUAAAAAUUCCCCCUUUAUUCGCAGCUACAGCAUGAACUCAAAUUUUCCUCGAUUAAUAAAAAAAAUAAUCCUUACCCAGAAAAAGAAAACACAAAUACACAAGACAUUUUACUUAAUUCAUUCCACAGUUAACACCAAUUCCCCAAUUUCCCAACCAUAGCAUACAAUAUAGGUUCGAAAACAGGGAACUAUAUAUCAGAUGUAAAGAAAGAACAUUGCGAAAUAUCUACCUAAGUUUGGUGGGCUUAGCUUUACGUUUGUUGACAAUGGGUUUCUUAACAUCGUCGGCAGGGUAAAAUUUCGGCGGCUUUUCAGCUGGAGCUUCGGCCUUAGGCUUGGCAUCGUGGCGAGGGAAGACACCUCCAUUUUUGGCCUUGAUUGCCCAGAGACCUCGCUUGUGGUACAUCUUGGACCUCGAGUAUUUGCCAACCCCUCGAAUGAGAUCGGGGUUUCGGCUAACUCUUGCUGUCUUCGGCGCCAUUGAUGAGUUUCUGAGAAUUUGGCUGCCUCGUUUCUUCUCUGCUUGCCGAAAGAAUUCUAGGGUUUCAUAUAUAUUCUAAACUCAUUGGGCUUUCUUUCUCUUAAUAAAAAAACAGGCCUUGGAUGUUUUUGGGCCUUAUUUUGGUCCAUAAUAAUAAUACGUUAAAAAGGGUACGGUCUACUUCGAAGACAAUAUUUCAUAAAUGACAUAUAAGUGUAAAUUAAAUCAAAUAAUAUAGAUCUCUCUCUAGUUAAUUAUUUAGGUUUUUUUAUCAAUAAAAAAUGUAACCGAUUUGGGUAAAAAAUAUUCAUCAAAUUCGGUUUUCGCUUAUUAUUUGUUGGAGGUGAGGAAAUUAGUUAAGGAUAUAGCAAAUCUUUAAAAGAAUUGUAAGUAUAACAAAUUUUAAUUAAACUUCAAGGUAAAAGAUGAAAAUACCCCUAACUACCCUUUAGGAAAAUUGCAGUAGAUGACUAUUUUAACAAUAAUAAUUAAGGAUAUAACAACAUUUUUAAAAAAUUGCAAAUAUUGCAAAAAUAUCACUGAUAGACUUGUAUCACCGAUAUAUUUCAUAUGGUAUAUCAGUGAUAGACCGAUAUUUACAACAUAAUCUAUCGGUGAUAUGUUCUUAUAUCAUUGAUAAAAUUUGACAAAUUUUGCUAUAUUUGCAAAUGUUUUAAAAUUGUGUUAUAUACUUAAUUAAUUUGAAUUUAAUUGCUAAAUUUGCAACUAUCCCUACACCUCAAGCAUUGUCUUCCAUCUUUCACUUUCUUCUUUUUUUUCAUAUUCGGAUUUUCUUUAAAGAUUUUCUUUUUCUCCAUAAUUUUCUCUUAUUCUCCAUGAUUUUCUCCAUUUUUCAUCUUCAUCGUUUUCUCCAAUCUCCAUAUUCAUUGUCUUUUUCUCCCUUCUCCAUCUUCACCAUCGUUUCUUCUCCGUCUUCUUUGUGAUUUUCUCCUAUUUUAAGAUCAUUUCUUCUCUACGCGAUUUUCUUCCAUCUCACUUUAAUAUUUUUCUAGAUGUGAUUCUUCCCUAAAAUUUUAUUUCAUCCAAUUUUUACAAUUUGAUUUAAUUUCAUCACUCUAGGUUGAUUUUGUUCAAUUCAAUUGAUUUUACCAGUAUUUUUAUAUUUUAAAAUGUGUGGGAAUAUAGCAAAUUACCAAUUUAAUAAUUCAAUUGAUUUUCUUUUGCGGUUUUGGUGCCUUCGUAUUCUGAUUUUCUUUUGCGAUUCUGGUGCCUCAUAUUCCGAUGUGCCUUCGUAUUCGGCUUCGCUUCACAUUCUCCACUUUAUCGUCAUCCACUUUCUUCGCUUUAGGUUUUCAGCUUCGCUUCAGGAUUUCUGCUUCAGUUCACGUUCUUCCGGUAUUUUUAUUUUCUGUUUGAUCGUAAUAUAUUUGAAAAAGAUUUUCUUCUUUUUCUAUUUAUUUGAAAUCGAAUGAUUGAUAGAUUUGGUUAGUAGAAGAUCUAAGUUAAAUUGCAUUUUUUGUGUGAUGUUGAAGUCUAUCAGUGAUAUGUUUCUAUCAAUGAUUGAUAGAUUUGGAGGAUGUUGAACUUGUUUGUGUUGGGAUAUUGAACUGUUUGCAGUAAGGUGUAUUAGUGAAUGUUUUAGUUUAAGUGUUGUUUCUUAAUCUAUCAAUGAUACAUUAUAUCAUUGAUAGACCUGAAAUAUGUUUAGUAAAUACUUUAGUUUAAUGUGCAUAUUUUAUUUGGGAUGUUGUUUAUGGUCUAUAAGUGAUAUGUUCUUGUUAGUGAUUGAUAGAUUUGGAGGAUGUUGAACUUGUUUCUUUGACAUGCUAAGUUUUGUGUUUUGUUGCUUAGGGAUAUGGUCUAUCGGUGAUAUGUUCGUAUUAGUGAUAAACUUGAGGGAUGUUUAGUUUGUUUGCAUUGAGACGUUAGUAGAUGUUUUAGUUCAAUGCACAUUUUUCUGAGUUGUUGCUUGUGGUCUAUCAGUGAUAUAUUUCUAUUAUUGAUAGACCUUGAGGAUGUUUGGUUUGUUUGUGGUAAGAUGUGUUGGUGGAUGUUUUAGUUUAAGUGUCGUUUUUUAAUCUAUCAAUGAUACGUUCUAUCAUUGAUAGACCUGUAAUAUAUGUUUAGUAAAUACUUUAGUUUAAUGUGAAAUCAUAUUUUGUCUGUUAUUGUUUAGAGUCUAUUAGCGAUAUGUUUCUGUCACUAAUAGACUUGGAAGAUGUUUAGAUUUUUUUAUUAUAAUAUAUAUUUAUAAACUCUAAUUCGACAUUAUCAUUUCAGGUUGUUCAAGAAAAAAAUGAAAAUGAUGGAAAUAGCAAAGGAUGUUAAAAAUGUUAGGUCGAAGAGACAACUUAACUAAUCAAAUAAAAUGUUGGAGAAUGCAAAAGACUAGAAUAUUGCAAGAGAUCGAUUUAUUUGUCCCUAGUUUUGAUUUGCAACUCUCACAUUGAGUAAAUGGAUAUUGUAUUAUUAGUUUUGCGGAUAUUUAAUGAUAGAAAAGAUCAAUGAUAGACUUCAUAUUUUAUUUGAUUUUGUUCAAUUGAUAUAGAAAUGUGUUGGACCACAAGUUGAAUAUUGCAAAUUGACUGGUUUUCAAUGGAUGUUGAAGUUUAUUAAUGACAGACCAUAAUGAUGAAAAAGUUCACAAUAGUGUUACCUCUUCAUAUUUAGUUGAUUUUAUCAUAUUAAUAUAGAAAAAUGUUCGAUCACAGGUUGAAUAAUCAUUGCAAGUUAUAAGCUUUUAUGUUCCCACUAAGAAAUUAGUAUUAUGCAUGUUGAACAAUUGCAAUUUAAUAUUAAUUGGUGCAUUUUAUUGAGAAUUUUUUUUUGUUAAUAUACAUGUUGAAGUCUAUCAUUGCUAGAAGCUAUCAACGAUAAACUUCUUAGUAAGUUUAUAACCGAUAGAAACUAUCAAUAACUAUAAAUUAAACUUCAUUAUGACAUUAUUUCAUAUUACUACUUUACAAUAAAGUAAUUACUGCUAACAAAAAAAUGUUAUCUAUCUUCAAGCAAAAUGAUUUUCAUCAAUAACGUAAUGUCACAUCAUUUUGUGACCAACAGGACGACAAUUAGUACAUUUUGAUGAUUUUUCCUUUCAUUAAUCAAUUUUUUUUUUUGUUUUCAUGGUCCUCAUGCUCGACGCUCGUAAGAUAGAGGUAGUAUUACACUCAUAACAUUGAUUAAUCAUAAUUUUGAAUCGUUGCAAUAUAUAUAUAUAUAUACAGUUUAUCAUCCUGGUGUUACACUCAUAGCAUUAUAGAAGAUAGAGUCUAUCACUGAUUGACUAAUAUUAGUGAUGGCCUAGGAUACGAGUCUAUUAUUGAUAGACUACUAUCAGUGAUGGACUAGGAUACAGAUCUAUCAUUGAUAGACUACUACAGUGAUGGACUAGGAUACAUAUCUAUCAUUGAUAUACUAUUAUCAGUGAUAACUUAGGAUAUUAGUGAUGGUCUAGGAUAAAGUUUAAUAUCAGUGAUGAUCUAGGAUACGAGUCUAUCAUUGAUAGACUACUAUUAGUGAUGGACUAGGAUACGAGUCUAUCAUUGAUAGGUUACUAUCAUGAUAACUUAAGAUAUUAGUGUUGCACUAGGAUACAGGUUCAUCAAUGAUAGACUAACAUCACUAUGCUCAUAUUAACUAAUCCAACUAAUAGUCUAUCAGUGAUAACUUGUAUUCAUCAAUAAUUUUAGGGAAAAAAAUCUCAAUUUCUUUUAACCUAAAAUUGUAGAAGUGAUAGAAAAAUUCUUAAUAUGCUCAAUUUCUAUGAAUCCUCAAACUAACGAAGUACGAUACAAGUGAAAUUAAACACAUUUUUAAAUAUAAAAAUUUUGGUAAAAUCAAUUGAAUUGAAGAAAAUCAAGUGAUGAAAUUAAAUCAAAUUGUAAAAAUUGGAUGAAGUAAAAUUUUAGGAAAGAAUCACAUCUAAAAAAAUAUCAAAGUGAGAUGGAAGAAAAUCGUGGAGAGAAGAAAUGAUCUUAAAUAGGAGAAAAUCACAAAAAAUAUGGAAAAGAAACAAUGGUAAAGAUGGAGAAGGGAGAAAAAGACGGUGAAUAUGGAAAACGGAGAAAAUCGUGGAGAAUGAGAGAAAAUUGUGGAGUAAGAGAAAAUUGUGGAUAUUUCUUUUAAAACAAGGGUAAUUUUGAAAUAGUUUUAAAAAGAAUACAAAAUCUGCUAUAUUUGCAAAUUGUUUAAAAAAUUGCUAUAUACUUAAUAUUUUAUGCCAAAAAGGUUAUUCCUUUUAAAUUUUAUAUUUUUUACAUUUGUGUUUUUUUAGAGUUUUUCUACUAUUCAUCUUUUCUAAUUAAACGCUUAACAAAACAAAGAUAUAACUCAAGAUUCUAGUACACUUAAAUAUAGAUUGGGUUAACUCUUGUACGGUGAGUUUAUGAACCUUUAAAAAAGAACAUUAUUGUGAUUGUUAAUUUGAUUUUGAUUCUAACAAAUUGACAUUGUAGCUAUGAGCAUGUGAUCUAGUUUAGGGUUUUGGAGAUAUGACAUGAUUCAAGUUGAGUAGGUUAGAGACCAAUAUUUCUCAAACUAGAUUUAAAGUGUAAAAGUUAUAAAUGGGUAAAAUGAUUAUAAUUUCUCUAAAAUUUUAGAUAAUAAAAUUAUACAUUUUAAAAAUUGAACCAAAAUGAACAAAAAAAAAAAAAACCUAAAAAAACUUUAAACCUUCCAUCUUCCCAAAUUAGACUCUAACAUCUCUCAAUACGUUAAUUUUUUUCACGGCAGAUAUUUAAUAUCAUACACAAAUUCUUUAACAUUUUGAUAUUGUGUAAGACAUAGACAUAACAUCAUUUACAUCAUUGAAAUUUUGUAAGAAUUGAUUUAGAGACCAAAGUUUAAAAUGAUGUCAACUAUAGCCUUUUUGAGUUGAAAAGAAUGGUAAUAAUGACACCAUUUAGGGAGAUUAAAGAGUUCAAAUGAAACUUGAUAAAGUUUAUAGGUUUGAAGCAUCACCUAAAGAUUAAAACUGUUUUUCAUAAUUUAUCAACACUGUUUUCGAAAAAUUGAGUGGCUAUAUAAAGCUACAAAAAACCCCAUUAUUAUUAGAAACUUAUGGAAAAUAUCCAGAAAUAAUACUUGUCCACCAUAACACUUUAAUUACAACUAGGAGAGACGAGUUCAUAAGGGAAGAAUAGUAGGAUGUUUUUUAUUUUUUUAAAAAAAGAUAUUUACCUUUUUACUGUUUUUCCUAAACCAAAAUUUCAGUUCUGAACACAUAUCAAACCAAACCAAAAAAAUUCAAUACAGUUUUAAUAUAAUAUAUAUAAUCUAAUAUAAUACAAUGUAAACGCUUCAGUUCAGUUUUGAAUUUAGUUUUCAAAUCCAAAACUGAAGGGAACUAAAAAAUUUGUUUGUUUAAACAGAACCCUUAGUAAAAACUGGAUUUUCGUUCAAUUCUAUUAGUAAUUGGUUUUAGUGUUCACCUCUAAAAUUUGUAACGGUGAUUGAAACUCUCCGGUUGGUUUAUUCAUGAGAUAACUAUAUAAUCGUCAACCAAUCUAUCAGAGAUCAAACAAAAGUUCCUCAAGAACAGAAAACGAUGAUGAUAUUGAGUUGGGAAAGGUAUUUCCCAUGUCUUAUUGAAGAGACGCUAACAAUUAUUUACCAGCAAUAAGGGCAUCAAUUUUGUUUUCCACAUGAGCCUCAUGAUCUUCAAGGCGACCACUGAUCUUAUCAUUCUCCUCCCAUCGAACCAGAGUUGGAACUCCAGUAAGCUUGAACCUAGGAUCCACUCUCCAUGGAUGCUGGGGAUUCCUCCAUGUUGGUCUAUCUCCUACAUAGGCUCUCAAAAGUGCAAUAUCAUCUGAUGCUGCUUCCAGUUUUUUGUAGAUCACCGGUUCAGCUCUCACACAGUCUGACACAAAAACCAAACAUCUAUCUUUUUAGAGAAUUGAUGAUUGCAUUCUGUACUUACUACCGCUAAUACAAUACGAGAAUUCUUAAUUGACUAGAUGUAAGUAGAGUCAAAUUGUAGAAGGAAUAUCCAAGUCCUAGUCCAGCAUUUUGUAGACAACAGGGAGAAAGACGAUGUAAUGGAAAAUGUAUAUUACUUCUUUAUAUCCAUGGUUUCUAGAAAGAUUGGAGUGGCAGGUAGAACAAUGUGAGAAACAACGUAGUAGUAUUGUUGACUACACCUAAAUAUUAGAAACGAUAGCUACAUUUAAGCGCACACAUUAAAUAAUUUUUCUACAAUGGCCAAGGUACACAAAAUACUAUACUUGUCUAUGACAAGGAAGGUUAAAAUUACACAUUUAGUUUCUUCAUGUAAGGUUAAAGUACACAUUUAGUCUCCGAACUUUCAAGUUCAUGUUGACAUUUGAAAAAUGAAAACUAUUUGAAAUAAAAUUGAAAACUUGAGAGACCCAUUAGACACAAACAUGAAAGUUUAACCAUAAGUUUCAUUGAUUUCUGUGAUCCAUGAUUGGUAGUUAAAUGAUGCUGUGUUAAAUGGUGCUGCAACAACGUUUUCACAUGGCCGCGUGGUAUUGAGGGUGGAGAAUAUCACAGAAUCAUGGCACAGCCUUUAAAUUACAAGAUAUUAAACAAAUAGCCUUUCUUGCAAUAUACUCAAGUACAUAGGCUACUGCAUAAAGCAAAUGGAGAGAAUGACCACAUAAAUGCUGUGAAACAACAUCCUUAAGCUCCAGCCAGUUUGUAAAUGCCUCUUUUUGAAGUGCUAACAUGCUUUAAAUGGCUAAAUACGUGCAAAUCACACAACUUACAAGUCUCUAAGUACCCCAAACCUAGGUAAUGAAUAAUGAUCUAACAUACAAUGGAGAUACAAGUUAGUGGGUGUGAUCAAUUUGUCUAAGCACAUCCUACUAUUUUCCAGAAAAGUCAUGUUAAUUAUGCAGGCAGCCGCAUGUUUUAGUCACAUAAUCUUACAGCAUUGUAAUCGACCUAGAACCGAUCAGAACCAAUGGAGCCACUUUCGACGCUUCUCAGCUCUAAUGCUUUGGGGAGUUAUGCUGAUUCUAUCUGCUCUAUCAACAAGCCAACUGCUAAAAUCUGGUGAAGAAACUAGUCCUUCCAAAGCCUUUUUAGUUGAGUCCUUGGUGAACUUUUCCCACUCAUCCUUUGAAAAAUUUCUACGUUCAGAAGUGGAAUGGAACGUUGAAGGAUACACAUCGCUAUGUUUAGAAGAAUGGCAGGGCUGAAGUAAGAACUUCUUAUUUUGGGAUCCAAAGAACCUGGGUUCUUUGUAAAGCGGGGUAGUCUUCAACGUGCAUUCAUCAUCAGAAUCAUCCAAAUGUGGCAUAUCAGAGAUAUGAGAUUUCUUGGGUAUUUUCUUUGGUGAUUUGAAUAAAUUCUUGAAUAGGCGACGAAGAAAUCUGAACUUAAAGAUUUUUCUCAACAUUGAUGAAGCCACUAUUCCACAUAUUAAAACUCCUGUUGCCAGCAAGGGGUCCACGGAACACUGAAGAAUAAGAAGACUAGCCAAAAUUCGAAUGGACCAUGUGACAAAAAGUGAUGUACUUGUAUUGAUUGAUCCAUCCUCAUCAAGGAUGAAUUUGUGGACUACCCAAAAGCCCAACCAUGCUCCAACCAGAAAAAUAAAAGCCAGCAGAAAUGCUGCUAGAGGAUUAUACAUGUCCUCACUUAUACCCAUUUCCAAAAGUAUUUGAUACAAUAAUCCAGAUAUGUAACGGAGGAAAAAAGAUCCAAGACCAACAGCAGAUGCGUAUAGAAAAAUUACAAGCGAGCUCUUCCGACCAGUAGGAAGAAGCUUCAUCCCCUGAAAAAGGAUCAUUAACACUAUAAGGAGAAUUCCAAUUGCCAUACCGCUGCCAUAAUAAAAUACCAACGACUUGCUCAGUAUAGAGGCUGAACUCAUCAACAACACACCCAAGAUUAAAAAGAUUAUGCGAUACAAAAAGAAUUCUUCUUCAGUUGAUACUUCAAAACUUUCCAAAGAUAUCCCGCGUGUUCUAAUAUCUAAAAGCUUGUGGUCAAACGGUGACGUGGAUUGGACCCAAGAACCUCUGUCAACUUUCUCCCACUGACUCUGAGGACACAUUCCUAUCCCGAGAGACAUAUUCCUGUGAAAACAAACCUCAACAUUUGACAUCCCAAAACUUGAAUUUCUCAAUGAAACCUUUACUUUCACUGUGUGUGCAACCUUCUUAAGAUUUUUAAACCUUGGUAAUCCUUGGAUGUAUACUCUUUCACAAGCCACCACAGUUCCAGGUCUGGAACCUGGAGAAUUUUUCACAGGCAAGCCACCAGAUAAUUGUAUAGUAGUUGAUUCAGAGACAAUAAGACGAUGGUCUUCAGGGUCAGAAGUACAGUAGACUGAAGCAAAGAACACUGCGAGAAAUAGAAGGCAAGUAGAAGCUCGAAACAACGUUGAAUGGACCAUGCUUUUUCUGGUUCGAAGGAUAGAACUGAAGCUCCCUUUUUCUUGACGAAGCAGAAAAGUAGGACAGUUAGUUUGUACAUGCCACUUAAUACCAAGUGUACAGAAUAAGCAUUCUUAAAUCCAAACUCGCAAUGUACCAAAUCCUAUUAUGAUGUUUCCAUCUAGACAUUGCAUCAUACAUGUAAAGCUCAAAGUGGGAACUACAAAUGUUCUAAGAAAUCCCAAACUACAAAAAUUUAAUAUCUUGGAUACUCUAUCCUUAAACCUAAAUGUAAGCAAAGUUGAAAAAGAUCUUCCUAGCUUACUGACGAAUGCAGAAUCACUAGAGACCUUCAAGUUUUGAUUCUCAGUAUCAGGCCCAUGACAAAAAAUUCUCACAAGUCAAACACAGAACUCAUUUCUCUAAAUAAUUUCUUCAAAUGUUUUUCAUUGCAUGGUAAAAAAAAUAUAAUUUCAUAGAUAGACCAUUGAGCAUAUGGUCACAACUUAUCUCUCGUUUAGCAUAUGGUGUGUGCGUAUAUGCAUAUACAACAUUAUCUCCCUCCAAUCAAUUGGGAACAUUUGAAGAUUUCAAACAAAUUUUACAAUUAAUUACUUUAUAUUAAAAGGGAAACUCGCAUAUGAAGAAAGGGAAAACGUGAGCAAUCACAAUCGAGGAUAAAUGACAAAAUCAGAAUUAGAACAAAAAAAUGCAAAAAAAAAAAAAGAAACAGCAAUAACGUAAGAUUUACGAUUUUAAUUUUCCUCACGAGAUGGGUAAUCACGAAUCCACAAAAUUUCUUCAGAAGUAAAAGGAAAAGCGGGGGGAAAAAACAAAGAAAUGGAGCAUACCAGGACACCAGCUGCGAGAGGUAGAAGGAUCUUUGUCGGCUAAAAAGAGGAUGAAAUUAGCUUUAUUGUUUGGGAGUUCUGAUCGGAAUUUGUCGAAUACAGCACUGAAGUCGGAGACGGUGGCGUCGACUACCUUCAGCGGCAUUUUCUUUCUUCUCAGAUUGCGGACGAAAGUGAAAUAGAAGAGUUUGAAUUUGGUGGGAAUUUGAGCGAAAUCCCCAAUGAAAUGACUUUCUAGGGUUUCUCCAAAUUAAUAAAUAAAUCUUAUGAAAAAAAUUCAAAUAUCCCACAAUAAACCAAAAUCUAACUAAACACAUAUACUAUAUUACUGUAAAGAUUAAAAUUGCUAAAUAUAUUUAGCAAAUAUAACAAUUUGAGUUUUUAUUAAAGACAAAAUCGAGUAGAUUUCUAUAAGUGUCUUUGUAUCUAUACGUGCAUCAGUGAUAGAUUUAAAAUUUAUUUAUAUUUUAUAAAAUAAAAAAAUAUAUACAUAUUUGAUAAAUAUCUAAUGUAUCUAUUUUCCUUACUGUACUUCUUUUUUUUCUUUACUUUGCAUUUGAUAAUUUGACUUCUUUUUCUUUUUCCUUUUCCUUUAGUUUCAUGUUUGUCAAACCAAAAUAUAAUACCUUUUUCCUUUGUGGUACCUAUCAAUUUGUACCGUAUUGUUAUUUUUGAAUUUAGCUUUGAAAUGUUUCUUGAAAAUGAGCAAUAAUAAAUAUGUUAGGAUUGCUUCAAUGAUUUUGAAUUUUGUGACUUAAAAUUGAAGAGAAUCUUGAAAUAAAUGUAUUUACCUCUCAAUCAUAAUUCGUAUUGAUAGAUCUAACCAUUAAGUUUCAAAGUUUUGUUUUUCUUUUUGGUUAAACAAAAUUUUAAAUCACUCUUAUUCUUGUCCUUUUUGUUGCUAACACCUCCUUCUUUCUUUCCCUUCUUCUUCUUUUUCGUCCAUUUUUUUAUUUUCUCUUGAAUUUUUAAUAAUGAUUUUUUUUCUGUCACACUUGAAUUUGUAAUCAAAAUUUUAAAACAAAAACGAUUUAUUAAAAUAUUUUUUUCUUUAGUUUUUAAAACUUGGUUUGAUUUUUAAAAAGAUAAGUAGAAAUUCAAUAACAAAACAUAGAAACUUAUGCGUAGAAAUAGUGUUUAUAAGAUGAAUUGUUAAAAACUAAAUAGCAUUUUCAUGUUGUUAAGUUUUUUUUGUAAAUUACAAAUUUAAUUAUAUGUGAACACAUAAUUAAAAAAAUACAAAGAUCUACUAAAUAUACAAGUGAAAUUAGACUCAAUAUAAAAAUGUAAACCUAUUAACAAAUACUAAAUAGAUACAAACCCUCAAAAUUUAAGUAAUGAACGUUUAAAUUUAAUCUCAUUAUUGUUCUUAUUUUGUUAAAUUAAAAAUUUAGUCAACAUUGUUUGGAGUAAGAUACAAUUCUUUUUUCUAAUACAACUUUAAGAUGAAGGAUUGACUUUAAACAUUGUCAUAUGUCAAUAUCAUUAAGUAAAACUCACUUUGUCGGUUGUCGACAAAGGCAACUGAUCAGAACCAAUAGAGUCACUUUCGACACUUUCCAACUCUACUCCUUGGAGAGGAGGUAUGUUGAUUCUACCCGCAUUAUCAAGAAGCCAUCUAGUAAAACCCGAGGAAGAAACUAGUUCUUCCAAAGCCUUUUUAGUUGAGUCUUUGGUGAGCCUUUCCCACUCAUCCUUGGAAAUCUUUCUCCGUUCAUGUGUCGAAUGGAACAUUGAAGGAUAUACAUCAUCAUCAUGUGUAAAUGAACUGCGGUGCUGAAGCAAAUCAGUCCUCAACCUGUAUUCAACCAAAUGGUUGGACGUUUCAUUUGGAGAUUGUAAUAAAUUCAAUUGGAACUUAAAGAUAUUGCUCGUCAUUAUUGAAGCCAUUGUCCCACAUAUUAGACCUCCUGUUGCCAAGAUGGGAUCCAAGGAACACUUAAGAAUAAGAAAAGUAGCCAAAAUUUGAAUGGAUGUCGAUACGACAAAAUGUGAUAUGUUUUUUUCAAUUAAUCCAUUUUCACGAUCCACAAAUUUGUGGGCUACCCAAAAGCCCAACCACGUUCCAAUCGGUAAAAUAAUAGCAAUCAGGAAUGUUGCAAGUGCUAGAGGAUCAAACAUGUCCUGACUUAUAGUUAUACCCAUUUCCAAAACAAUUUGAUUCAAUAGAUCAAGAACAUAAUGAAGGAAAAAAGAUCCCAAACAACCUACAGAUGCGUAAGCAUAUAGAAAUAUUUGAAGUGAGUUCUUCCCACGACGAGAAAGAAGCUUCAUUCUCUGAGAAAGGAUCAUUAACAGUAGAAGGAGAAAUCUAAUCAGCCAACCACCGCCCAAAUAGAAUACCAACAACUUGCUUAGUAUGGAGGCUGAACUCAUCAACACUACACCCAGGAUUAAAAAGAUUAUGCGAUAUCGAGAGAAUUCUUCUUCAAUUGAUACUUCAAAAGUUUCUAAAGAUAACCCAGAUGUUCUAAUAUCUAAAAUCCUGUGGUCAAAUGGUGACAUGAAUUGAGCCCAAGAACCUUCGAAAGCUUUCUCCCAUUGACUUUGAGGACACAUUCCUAUCCCAAGUGAUGUAUUCUUGUGAAAACAAACAUAAAAAUUUGAUGUCCUAGAACUUGAACUUUUCAUUGAAACCUUCACUGUCACUGUGUGUGCAACCUUCUUAAGAUUUAGAAACCUCUGCAAUCCUUGGAUGUGUACUCUUUCAUAAAGCGUCACAGUUCCAAGCCUGGAACUUGAAGAAUUUUCCACAGGCAAGUAACGGAAUAGUUGUAUAAUUGUGGGUUCAGAGACAAGAAGACGAAGCUCUUCAGGAUCAGGAGUGGAGUAGGCUGAAGCGAAGAACAAUGAAAGAAAUACAAGGCAAGUAGAAGCUCGAAACAACAUUGAAUGGAUCAUGCUUUCUCUGGAUCGAAGGACAGAACCAAAGCUCUUUUUAUCUUGACGAAGCAGAAAAGUAGAACAGUUAGUCAUUUGAUUUAUCUACAAAAUAAGCAUUCUUAAAUCCAAAACUCACAUGCAGUGUACCAAAUACUAUGGUAAUUUUUCAUCUUGACAUUUCAUCAAAUAUGUAAAGCUCAAAGUAAGAACUAGAAAUAAUCUAAAAAGAUUCGAACUACAGAAAAUCAUAUUCUAGCUCGCAGACCAAAAUUAUUUCAUGAAUCAAUAUACAACAAAACUAAAUGUUGGUAUAGAAAAUUCAUUUAGAAGUAAAAGGAAAAGGUGGAGAAAAAAGAAAGAAAGAAAUUGAAGAUACCAGCAUUGAAGUUGGAGACUUUCAACUCCAUUUCUUCUUCUUCUCAGAUCUGCAACAAUCAGUAGUCAACUUGGGACAGAAGUGAAAUGGCGGGGGAAAAUUAUUGGGUUCACUCUCCUUUCAUAAAAAAGUUGAUCAACAAAACAUUGACUUCUUUAUUAAAAUAACGGAUGUGGCUCUUUCUUCAAUUUUCUAUUUAACCAGUAUUUUAUAUUUCACUAGAAGACUUAGGCCACCCUUUACUCUUAGUCUUUUUUAGAUGUGUAUCAGAUAUGUACAAGUACAAGUGUAUUUCAAGAGUAUGGGUAUAUCAAGUGUGUAUCAAAUGCAUAUCAAAAGUACAUUACAUAUCACCAAGUGUAUAACCAAGAGUACAUUACAUAUCACAUGUAUACCACCAAGUGUAUAAUCAAGAGUACAUUACAUAUUACAUGUAUUAAAUGUGUAUUAAAUCAAUGUAUAUCAAAUUUUUAUUAGAAAGGUAUCAAGGGUAUUAAGUGUAAAUCACAUUUUUACCAAGGGUAUGUACUAAUGGUGUGUUGACUAUGUACUAAUGGUGUAUCAAAGUGCAUUAUGUAUAUAUCAUAUGUGAAUCAAAUGUAUCACGUGGUUUUUUUUCUUCUUUUUUUUUUUUUUUUUUGUUAUUUUUGCGCAAGUAAAUAAGUCUAUUCUAUAGGUCUGAUUUUUCUAAACUUGUUUUGUCAGACAUGCAAGAAGCCCAUAAAUCAAUGGUAAUGUAAAAAGUAGAUUUCAUUUAAUCACUUUUGGUAUUGUUUAUUUGCCAUAUGUAGUAACAUAUGAGACCUAGCUCGAAACGUGUAAUGAAGAGACACAAACUAAUUGGUAAAUUCUUGUCGUUCAAUUCAAUUGCACCUAUUGGAUCGUUGGGGUAGAAAUGAAUUCGUGAAGUGUAAAAGUGAUAAAAUAAAAAAUAAAACAAAGUUGGAUUGAAAAAAGUAGAAACUAGCGUGAGGUUAGUUUUACAAAUUAGAUAGAAAGUGCUUAAUCAAAACAUAAAUAUUAGAUUAUAUUAUAUUACAAAUCUAGUCCGAUUGCCCUUUAAAAUUUAAUUUUAUUAUACAAAAAUUUUAAAUUUUGUAUAAUAAAAUGGUAUAUCAUUCUAUCAAUUAUAGACUUCUAUGGAUGACAAUGAUACAUCAAUAUUUGCAUAUCAUUCUAUUAUUGAUAGACUCUAAUAAUUUUUAAUAUAUUUAUAAUUUUUUAAAAUGUUGUUAUAUAUAUUAAUAUUUUAAAUUUAAUUGCUAUCUUUACGUCAAUUUAACCUAAAAGGCUAUAAAAAAAACUAACUUGUAGGUUUAAUAUUUAUUUAAAUCCAUUUUGUUAUAGGUAUUUAUAUAGAUUAAGUGUUGAAUGAGACAUAUAGAAGAAUUGAGGUGCAUAUUCCGAAGGAAGCUAAGUGACAUUUGAAUUUUCAAUUUAUUUAUUUACUUAUUAAUUUUUGAAAAUUUUGAAAUUUCAAUUCAAAACGUUAAAGUAUGUUGAAACAAUAAGUUCAAACGAGGUAUAUUAGUUUCUACAAAAGAACUACAAAAUUGAAACAAUAUGCCUGGUUUGAGUGUCGAAUUUAUUAGUGUUGAAGGUUUCCUUGAAAGAUUUGAAUAAAUUUGACAUGAGCCUUCAAUAUUUUUAUCAACUGUGAUGAAGCCAUCAUUCCACAUAUCAGAACUCCUAUUGCCAACAACGGAUCCAAAGAACAAUGAAGAAUAAGAAAAGUAGCCAAAAUUCUAAUGAACCAUGUGAUAAAAAGUGUUAUACUUUUAUCAACUAUUCCAUCUUCAUAAUGGAUAAACUUGUGGUCUACCCAAAUGUCCAACCAUGUUCCAUUCAGACAAACAGAAGCCAACAAGCUGAGAGAUGUGGCAGCCAAUAAGAGGAUGAAAGUAGGUUUGUUGUUUUGGAGUUUGUCAGCAUUGACGUCGGAGAGGAUGGCGUCCACUACCUUCACCGGCAUUCUUGUUCUUCUCAGAUCUGCAAGAAUCACCGGUGAAUGGACGGAAGUGAAAUGGCGGGGGAAAAUUAUAUGGUUGACUCAUAACAUGAAUUUGCAAUAAACAUUGACUUUAUCUUGAAAUUACGGAUGGGCCCUUUCUUCGCAUUACUAACGGUCACGUGAGUUUCUAUCUUUCUCACCUUCUCGUUAUUUAUUGAAUUUCCGCUCCUCUUUUUAAAUAUUCUUUUUUUCUUUAUUUAAAAUAUGAAACAUUACUCAUAAUAGUAAAAAAAUUAAACAUUUCACUAUUUUGCUAUAUUUUGUAAAUAAAUUCGACUUUUUAUUUUUAAUAAUAAUUUUAUUUUAAAUAUUGUGAUUAGAAAUUUGACAAAGGAUUUUAAAUUUAUUGCAAUUUUUUUUGAAAUUAUUGUUGCCCACGGGAGAUUUUUGAAAAAGUUUAAGUAGUGGAGCAUUUUUAUUUAUAUUAAUUUCAAUACUAUGACUACAAUCUUUAAUAUAUAAUCCUUGAAAUAAACUUUAAUUUUUAAACUUGUUGAUCUUCUUGGAUAAUUGACGUUUGAGCUUGAUGAUCUUCCUAAAUGAUCAGGCUUUGAGUUUGAUGAUCUUCCUUGAUCAUUGACCUUUCACUUGUUGAUUUCUUGGAGGAUUUAUUGAUCUUUUGGAGAACUAACUCUUGGGCUAAUUAAUCUUUUUUGGAUAAUCAGUUUUGAUGAUAUGCUUUAAUCUAUCUUACAACUAUUUUUUAGAUCUUCAAAUCUUUAACCACGUAAACUUUAGAUUUUAAGAGCUUUUAGGGUCUUAGUAUUCAUAAUUUGGAAGCUUCAAAGUUUGGUGAGAGUUAUAACCUUAGAAACUUGAAUAAUAUUUGGAGUUUGAGAGGUUGAAAGUUUGAGAAGUGUUAGUCAUUUUAGGUGGCUUCAUAACCUUUAAAAUUUUAGAGUUUCUAAACUUCAAGUUAUAUAUUUUGCAUAUCUGCCGUACUUUAAUCUUGAAGGUUCAAGAGGAUUAAUCUUCUAAACUUCAAAUUUUCAUUACUUUAACCUUGAUAGGUGCUUUGGUUUUCAGUCCUCUUCUUCUUCUCCCUCCUCCAAAUGAAAGGGUAAAGCCUGAGGUGAUAGAGUUCGCAUGGGCUUAAGAUGGGCUUGGGCCCAAUUGUCUAAUGGACUUGGUCUCAGUCUUCUGAAGGGCUUGAGUUUGGAUCCAGUGUCUUUCUUGGCCCAAAUUUCCAUACGGAGCUUAAAUUGAUUUAGACAUUAGUCAUUUUAAUUACUCGACUCAAUUCAUUUAAAAUUUUCAUGAAGAACUCAAUUUUAGUUGUAAUAAUGUAUAAAUUUAACUGCCAAAAUUUCCCAUUCACCAAUUGUAUAUAAAAUUUUGUAUUUGAAAUGACAAUGAAAAAAAAAGAAGAUAAAAUUAAGAAUAAAUUAGUAUAAGUUUACAACUAUGACGUGUUAAUUAGAAAAUUAGAAUAUAUUCAAAGCUAUUUUCAAAUCUACAUAAAUAAACUAAAAGUUUUAUAAAUAUAGUAAAAUAUAAUCAAUUAAAUUAAUAAAUUAAUGCAAAUAGAUACACUAUCAUUAUUAUUAAUAGAUAAUAAAAUUUUAUUAUAUGGAAAGUUAAACACGGAUUUUACUUUUGAAAUUGUUUAAAAUAAUUAUUUUAGUCAAGAAAGUUGUUCCAAGUAAAAAUAAUUCUUAAAAUCACUUUCGAUUUCAAAAUCAUUUUUUAAAAUUCUUUAGAAAUUUCUUAUAAAUUGAAAUACCUCAAAGCGGGCCAUUAACUCCUCUGAUCAUACUCUAAAACAUAAAAUGUUCUUUUACAUCUAUUAGUUUUUUAAACUUAUUUGGUUUUUAAAAACAUAAGUAUAAAUUUAAUAACAAAAUAUGCAGAAAUUGUGUUUUUAAUCUUAAUUUUCAAAUUUCAAACACACAAAAAACAAGUUGUUAUUAAUUAUGACAUAAGAUAAAUAUUUUUGGUUUUGUUUAGUAAUUAUUUUGUUUUUUAAAAUUUAAGUUCGUAAACGCUAUUCUCAUCGUCUGCUUUUUCUGUUUUUAUCUCUUUUUUACUAUUAAAAAACAGCUUUUAAAAGUUUGUUUUUUGUUUUAGAAUUUAGCAAAAAUAUUCAGCCAUCAAACGAGACUUUCAUUCAUUUAUGUGAUUUAGUUCAAUUUUACCUUAAACUUUCUGUUCGCAUGAGAUUUCCUAAGAAAUUUUAUUUGUGAUGUUGAACUAGUGUUGAUGUUAUAUCUUUGUUGAUUUGAUGCGAUGCGGUUCAAUCUCUAAAAUUUGAUCAUCUAAUCUCUCUCGAUUGGAUGCUUACGCUUGAUUUGGAGGAAGCGGGACACGUGAUGUUCUUGAAGUUUGUUGAACGUCUACGCUUGAUUUGGAGAAGCGGAGCACAUGAUGUUAUAAAAGUUUGAGCAUUUGAAGAAAGUUUGUAUUUUCAAAAUAUCUUCAAUCUUCAAGGGAAGUUGGAGUCUUGGAAGAAAUAUUGUGUCUUCAAAGGAGCUUUAAUCUCUAGACUUUCUGGAGUAAAAAAAUUUCAACAUUUACAAAUGAGGAGAAUUUCUGUAUUUAUAAAGUUCUCUGGUAGGCUUUAUGGACUUGAGCCUGAUUGGUCCAUGGAUCAGACCCAUAGGCUCAACCACAAAGAUUUGAGUUAUAUUUAGUCUUUUGACUAAGCUUGUUUUUGGGCUUAAUUGAACUUAGUCCAAGUAAAUAAUGUUUAAUUGAACCAAAAUAAUCAACUUGAUACAACGGUUAAGAUGAAAAUAAGUGACAUUAUUAUAAUUGGUCAAUUUAAGUUUUUAAUUUUUAAUUUGGACACAUGUCAAUUUUAAUUAGUUCCAAAUUAAAUUAUUUACACUUUUCAUUAUUAACUUAAUUAAUUUAAUAAAUGAUGUGGUAAUUUGUGAUUGGUUUCAAAAUUUCUUAUUCAACAUUUUGUAUAUAUUUUAUGUAUAUGAAGUCAUUACUUUUCAAUUUUAUCUAAACAAGAUUUUUUUGACACAAAUAAAAUUAAAAGUUUAAUCUUAUUAUAUAUGAAAUUAAAGCCAUUUUUUAAAAUAACAAAUUUUACAAAAUAUUUACAACUUAUAGCAAAUUCUAUCGAAGACUGCAUUGAUAUAAUCCAAAAUUUUGCUAUAAUUUGUAAAUAUUUUAAUUUAUUUUGCUAUUUUAAAAAAUGUUUCAUAAAAUUAGAGGUAAUGUAUAAUAAAAUUGUUAAUUUUUAUCCUAAAAAACAUAUUAAAAACGUCAAAUUUCUAUUAAAAACAAAAAAUUAAGAAUUUAUUAAAUCUAGAUUUUGGGAUUAAUGGAACGUAAAUGAAAUUUUAAAAAUGGACAUUAUCAAUUAGGAUGUGAAAUUUUAACUUUUAAUCUAAACUUUGAGUUUGUGCACAAUACCUGUGUCGAUGGUUUUUGACACAAACUUAUAUUAUCAACUUUUAAUUAUGUGAUUUGAUCUCGGACUUAAAACAAAUUAAGUGAUAAAAUUGGUAAAAAUAUUUGUUAAUAUAAAUUUUACUAUAUUAGUAAACUCAGGAAAAUACCUAUAAAAACUUGUGUUUAUUUAUUUUAAAAUUUUAAAUUCUACAAAUUUAAUGCUUGAGCUCUUAUUUUUACUAUAAAAAGAAUUAUAUACUAUUAUUACUAUUACUAUUAUUUCUAUCCACAUUAUAAUGAAUUGAAGCAUUAAUGGAUAUCAGAAAAGUCCAACCAAACCAAACAGAGCGUCUUGCAUUUAAGCCAACCAAAGCUGAAUUGCAUCAAGAGAAAGGAAUAUUUGUAGAUGAAAGAAAUCUUUACAUGAAUGAAUCUUUUCAUUUUUCUUACAAAAAAAAUGGUCUUUACAAUAAAAUAUUUAACUACAAGAACUUAUUCUGUAAAGAAUCAAAGAAUUAUACAAUGUUGUGCUGUUCCUUUUAUUUCUCUUAUAAUAUAAAUUUUAUAUAUAUAAUGGCAUCUUUCUCACUCAUUUACACAUUACCUAGGCUGCAUUUCUUCAGAUUACUACUGCAUAUUUGAUUUUAUUGCUGCCUGCAGUAACUCUUUCGUAAUGUUCUUCCCGCAGAACUUCGUUGCCCCGAGACAACGCCAACUUUUGGUUCUAAAGAGGCUCGAAUUCAUUGAUCAAGUUGGGAUCUCCAAAGUUUUAUCAAUUUAGACUUUUGGUUCAUUGAGGCUUUUUGCUACGUUGGCACCACUGGUAAGUUGUUCAACUCAUUAUAUGGUAUGAGCAUCAGAGCUGUUGUUGCACAUGCAUUCAGGAAUAGGGUACUUGGUAACGUCUCGUCCGACUUUGCUGGUUCGAAGUUCGGGCUGUCCGAGGGAAUCCUGAUGCAGCUCCCUGAUGAUCUUGUUGAACUCUGCUUCAGGAAGUGAGGAAUCCAAGAAAAGGGGAAGCAUGUGCCGUUUGUUUGGUGUUAUGUACUUUUUAUGUCCAGCAUAAGCCCUAUGUCCCUGUAUAAAACGAAUAAUUGACUUGUUAUGAUCUUAUGAUCAGACUCAAAAAGCAAAAGUUUUUACACGAUGACGAGUAUCGGCUAAAUUCACAAACUGAAGGAGAAUCCGUACCUGAAUGGCAUGACCCAUAUUUCCUCCAUGAGAAGGCAUGAAAACAUCACUACUCUCACAAACAAUAUAGUCAAUAGCAGCCAUAAUGGAAGCUUUUUUGGCAAAAGGCUCGAGUUCACUUGGUAAAGCAAGAUCUUCCUUGUUAUAGAAAUUUGGGAACUCCCCUGUUAAUGGUUGCAGGGCUUCUUUUCCUCCUAGUGGUUGUCCUCCAGCCCAGUAUAUUCUUGUGUCCCCCGGAGCUCCGAGAGCUUUCAGUAACCUGAGCAAGUUCAAAAAUUUAGUCGAGCAGAAUAGUAAAUGUAAAUGAUUAACAAUAACAAACAUAUGGUUAAGAAAUUUAUACCUCAUAACCUCAUAGGCAUUUAGGGGACAAAGGCCUGCCAGUUUCCUAUCGUGGUAGCUCAUGUUUGAUCUAGCAGUUAAGAGUUCAGGUCUUCGAAUUCUUUCGUUGUUUAUCAUCUCAUCAUAUUCAGGGCUCAACCCAGGUAGACAACCAGUUCUCACCCAUACGUCCUUCUCCAUUCGUAAAUGAAGAGCAAGGUACGGUCCUUUGCUCCGCAUUCUCUCAGUGAGCUUGUUACCAAGUUCCACAAUUGGUGGAGCAAACCUCAAAGCAUGAAAAGCAACCUAAAUCCCAAAGAGGAAAAAGAACAACAAUUAACACUGAUAUCCAACCAUUUCAUAAGAAUUAAUAAUGGCAAAUGGAUUAAGAAAUCAAAUAGAGUUAUAACAAGAAGAAAAAACUUAUAAUACCUUGCAUCUGAGCUUUUGAAGGUCAGAAGGAAGAUCCUUAGAAAGCCUUGAGUCCAAGCCACGCAGCAGGAGCACCCCUUCUCUUCUAAGCUGCAAAAUUCAACACAUACUCAUUAUUGUAAAGGUACAAACCGAAACAUUUUGUGUGGGGAAUGACAUAAAAAAUGUGUCAAAAAACAGAACGACAGCAAAAAGCCACAAAAACUUUUUAGUUGGUAAUACGUAGCUGUUUGGUCAACCUUAAUAGACAGGCCAUAUAUGUAUGAAUCUUAACAGACAAGCUUACAUUUAUAGUUCAACGUAUCAAUGAACCAACUGCUCUAGCAAAUAUUCAUCAUAAAAUUACCACUAACCUAAAAGUUUAUAGUUUUCGAGUAUAGUAGUUACAUGUUAUCUCCUCCACUCUAUAUUAAUAGUUAGCGUGUCCGCUUUGUCAAUCAAAUUAACAUCUGAGCCCACACGUAAAAAGAGCAAAUAAAUUUUAACAGAACAAUUUAAGCUUUGUCAAUCAAUAUUCAUCUAUGCAUUAUGGCAACGUGGACAGUCUCAUUCUUUUCUACAAAGUACAAACAUAAAAAUGUUCUAUUAUUUAGUUCAAAUGUGUUGUGUGACACAUUCAAAAUCAAUCUUCAAAGAUGCUUUGUGAUGAGCAAGCAACAGUAAAUUAUAUGAUAAGGAUAUAAUGAAAACUAGCAUGGCAGUUAUCAACAGAUUCCUUUCCUAUCAAUCAAGAAGCCAACCAUUUUUUUUAGAAGUAAGCUUUAAAGAGAAGCCAUGGCAGCUUAAAGAACAAACAACAAUAUUCGUUUGAUCAUCCUCACCUUCCUGAGGUAACGCGACCGAAUCCAACUCGGCGAGACGUGAUGGGGAGGCGAUUUUUCCUCCACUGGCCGAGUCAUCAGAUGCGUAGAUGGCAAAGAUGACACUAUAUGAACGUCAUCCGCCAGAACAUUCUUGAAAUGCUCCAAAUCAAAUAUAUCAGAAAACUCACUGCAACCAUAAAACAAAACACAGAAAAACAAACUAAGCAACUGAUACAUAAGAAAACACAGAGUAUAUUUAAGUUCUUAUAAAUCAGAGACUUCGUCAAUCAAAUAGGAAAAAAAAUGGAUUUCUACUGUUAUUAUACCUUUCAUCCCCCCAGAUAACGUUCACUUGCAAGAUUGGAACAACCAAAGCAGCCCCAAGGAUUCUAGCAAUCACAACAGCAUCAACGAUCUGAUUUCUCUGUUGAUUCAUCCCACCAGAAACCACCACCAUCAAAUACUUAGUCCUCUCACUAACGAUUCCAGUGGUUGAUUUUUUAUAUUCUUCGCUGAAAUCUAAGCACGGUUUAUACCCCAAUCCAUCAGGUUGUUUCCAGAACUCUCCCUGUUCGUUACCCUCAUCCGAUUUCAAAACCCCAGUUGAAAUCGGGCGUAGCGAUUGGAAAGAGUCACUCGUAACCUCGUCCUUCAAAGCAUUUUCUCUAUCUCUAUCGAUUAAACCUGAUUUCAAAACCCCAUUUGAGACUAAACCCUGCGAUUGCCAUUGAGACGUGAAACAAGGGUAGGACACAUAAGGGAUUAAAGGGUUGGGAUUAAAAGUAAGCUUCAACAUCCCGAAAAGACCAAAGAGAAAAAUAGCAAGAAGCCAUAGCUUAUUGGAGCUUCUGUAAGUGGAAAGACUAAGAAAUUUAUUGUAGUUUUUAGAAGAUUUCUUAGGCGAAUCGAGAAGGGAUUGAAGCGAAGAUGAAGAUAAAGAGUUAAUGAUUUGAGAUGGAACCGAAAUGUAAGCUUGCUUCUUGGAAUUACUGUUCUUCUUCGCCAUGGACAAAAGCAGAGAGCAAGGUUUUUGACUAACCCACUUGGCGUUUCAGAUUUACGAAUCUCAAUCUCAUUAGAGAGAAAGAAAAGAAAAAAUGGAGCGGCGGGAAGAAGAGAAGGAAUUUUCGUGAAUAUAAUUACGCGUUGCUGACCAAAAGUGGCCGUGUUAGAACGGGAGAUUUCAAAGAUGAACUUCGCCUUUGAAAGGAAGCUGAAGCUAAUUUAUAUUGUGUUUUAAUCACUCGUUAAUUAAAAUUAAAUAUUGUAAUAACCCAUUUACGUGUGUACAAUUACAACUAUGCCCCCUUAAGUUUUAUUUAUUUUUCUUUUAAAUAAAAUUACUCGAACCUAUAAUAAAUCUAUAAAAUUUAUGAGGAUAUUGUUAUAUAUAUAUAUAUUUUGAGACGUGUGAAUUCUGAAACAACAAUUAUGGCUAUUUAUUGCUUCAAACUUUUCCUUUAGCUUCGGUAACUAUUUAAAGGGUACCCUAUCAACUUCAAAAUUCAAAUCUCUCCAUUUUUAAUUAUCUUCCCUUUAUUCUUUAUUUUCUUAAAUAUAUUCACCAUUUUUAUUUUCUUACCCCCUAAGUUUUCUUUUUUGCUUAUUGUUUUCUAUAAAUUAUAGCAUGUUUUCAUAUUUAGCUAACAAAUUAUACAAUACUAAAGUAUAUAGCAUAUUAAAAAUAUUAUCGAAUGUAAAUAUAUAGUUUAAAUAAAACUUUGGUAUUCAAGUUGGAAAUGAUGCUAUUCUUGAGUUGCUAUUUUAUAGUUUAAUUUAAUAAACCUUAACUACUUGUAGUACCAAAAAAUGAUCCAUAAUAUAGAUAAAUAAAAUAAGUACUUCUUAUUCUAUAAAAUUUGACUUUUAAAAGCUCAAUUUUUUAUUUUUUUUUAAAGAAAAAACUUUCAAUCAAUUGAAUUGGGGGACAGUUCAUCAUGCUCAACUAUAUAUAUGCUUGAUUAAAAAUAUUAAAUUGUGUUUGGUAUAAGAAAAGCUGUUGACUAAGAUGAAAUUUUUGCCUACGUGUAUAAAUUAAAAGUGAUAAAUACUUUAUACUUUUCCUUUAUUUGUAAAAGUAAAAUUACAAGUGUGACAUAUAUAUACGUACUACCUAGUAAAGAUUAUUGUGACAUUACAUUUUUAAUAACUUCUUCAAAUAUUCUCUCUCACUUUUUUUUUUUCUUUUUUCUUUUUAUAGUUUAGUUCAAACAAACAGAUAAGGACUCAAAUAUAAAAAGCUUUUUAAGAUUUACUAGUAUCUCCAUUAGUUGAAUAAUAUAUAUAUAUAUAUAAUAUGUAUGUAUAUACAUGCUUAAAUCUCAACAUUUUUAGUCAUGUUGCAUGCAUUUUAAUUUAAAAUUUAUAUGACUAGUUUUUUUUUAUAAAAAAAAGUCAAAUACUAAAUCAUGAUUGUAGGUUUAUUAUUUAAAUGCAACAUUAUUGUACAAAUAAGUGCAAAUUAAUGAUUUUUAAAGAAUUUCAAUGUAAGUAUGCGUCUAUUCACAUUGCUACAUCAACAAAGUCAUCUACUGUAAGAAAAUUUAUGAAAUCAAAGCCAAUAUAACCUAUUGAACCUUACUUAUAUUUUUUUUAGAAAAGUUCAUUGUUUUUUGAAAUUCAAGUUUAUUAAUUUUUAGUUUAAAUACACAAUUCAAUGAGAAUUUACUUUUGGUACGGUUUCUUAAUAUUCUCUGUCCAAAAAAAAAAAGAUUUCUUUGUACAUUUUUAAACAUUUUAAAAAUGUUUAAACAUAUGAAAAUUUGAAUAGCUAUUAAACAUUUGUUAAUAGCUAACCUAACCACUCCUCACGUUUCUAAACAUGUCUUAAUAGCUAUUAGACAUUAUUUUGUUGUAUAUAGUUAUGUUGAGUACCACAAUUUAUGGGAAUUUUGGAAUAAGUGAACAUUUUUAGGUAUUUAAUUUAAUUUUUAAAUAAAUAUUUGGAAGGCAUGUAGAAACCUAAUAAUAUUGUUUUUUUGAAGUUAGGAAAAAUGAAAUUAUUUUGAAAGAGAGGGAGAUUCCAAUGGAACAAUAAAAAGGGGAAGAUAUAAACAAGUAAAGAAAAUUAGAAAAACGAAAAUGAAAUGUCUAACUCCGUCAGGAUGGUUGCGUGUCGUGUUGCGUAUUUAGCCAGCUGUCAACUCAUUCCUUUUUUUUGAAAAAAUAAAAUUGGUAUAUUUAUUAUAUACAAAAAAGAAAGAAAAAAAAAGAAAGGGGUGAAAAAAGCAAAAAAAAAAGAAAAGAAAGGGGCAUGUGAUUAUGCUGCCGCCAUUCCCAGACAGGCUGUUGUUUCCCUGUCCUAAUAUGCCACUCUCAUCCAAUCAAAUUUUUCCGCUCUUCAAUUUUCAUUUCCCCCAUGCCAGCUGGCUUCCAUUUCCUCUCCAUCCUGGCAUUCUCUUGCCACGUCUAUCCAUCACCAUCAGGUACGAGGUCUACACCUCAGCAACCCUCCCCCCAUUUUCCACCCAAGCCUAAAAAUAGAAAAUAAAAACAUCGCUCACCUUAUAUUACUAGCUUACUUUUCUUUUCAACUUUUUUUUUUUUUGUUAUGUUUAAGUGAAUGAAUAAUCUUUUCCCACAAAAAAAAAAAGAAAAAGAAAAGAAUGAUGUAUUGAUUCAGUUAGGGUUCUUUUUUAAAAAAUAUGAAUUAUUGAUUAACAUGUACGAACAAUAAUUUCGAAAAUGAAAAACAAGGCAAGGCUUUUUUUCUUCUUCUCCUUUAAAGUGGUUAUAUGACUUGUGUAUAUAAAAAAUGAUUAAUUGAACAAAUAUCAAUUAAUAAUUAAAUAAAAGUUUUACUUUAGAACAUAACGAUGGGACAAAAUAUUCAAAACUUAUAAGCUUUUUGUAAUUGCCUACAAGCAACAGUAUCCUCUGCUCUCUUUUUAUUAUAUCCAAUACACACACUAAUAACAAAUGUUGAAAUGAGUAGUUUCCUUCACAUGCUAAAAACUAAUAUUUGUUUGGUAUUUGAGAUCGUUAGGUAUAGUAUUCAUUCUUUUGUUCUUCUACUUUACUUCGUGUUUCUUUUAACAGGAUUUAUGCACAUUUCACCCAUUACAAUAUAUUCUCUUGAGUUUAUUUUUGCAAUUUUGAUAGAUAAGUUUUUGUAACUUUUGUGUGUUUUUUUUAUUCUUGCAUUUCAAUGCAUUUACUUUAACAAAAUAAAUUAACUACGAGACAUAAACAUAUGAAUGAAUGUUAAUUGUCAUUAAAAAUAAAAAUGAAUGAAAAACAAUUUAUAACUAAGGUUGAUAUUUAACAUAGUUUUCUUUUUGUAUUGGUAUUUUAAAACAAUCUAAAAAGUUGAUGCAAAAAUUAGUUGAUUGAUGGAUGGUACGAAUUCAAUAAAAAAAAUUAAUGAUAAGAUGUAUACAAACCAAUGAUUAAUACAUGAAAGGAAAUGAAUUGAAUUAUUUUGGUAUGAAAUAAUAGUGAAUUAAGGAGAAGGGAAAAUAUUGAGGGAAAUUAAGUAACAUAGAAGACUAAUAAUUGAAAGAGAUGGAUGAGGGUAAAGUCAAAUAUGAUAUGAAUGAUUGACAAUUUCCAACCCAAUCCUCUGGGGUCCCUUUGAGCCUACAAGGCUCCAGCUGUUUGCUUUGCCAAAACUCUAAAACUUGUGAUGUGUUUGGCUCUUCCCUUCUAUUAUUCCAUUCCAUUGCCCCAAAUCUUUUUGUACUACAUUUUUCUUUUUCAAUGAAAAAAAAAAAAUACUUCUCCAAUUGUACAAUUUUUCUUCUUUAAAAAAGAGAAAAUUCUGAUUGACUCUACAUUAAAUAAAAAUUCAAAUUUAUUUAAAAUAUAUACCUAGUAAAGUUUUGUUAGCAUAUGUGGUAAACUAUUAAAGAAUUUGACGAUCAAUUCAUCAUGUUAUUUCUUAAACUUUCCAAUGAAAACAAAUUCAAAUCUCAACUUUUAAGAACAAUUUAAAAACUAAACUCAAAAUUAUAGAUGAAGAGUGUAUUUUAUCAAAAACAAAAUAAAGCUGAUUCAUAUAUCAUUGUCUUUUUUUUUGUUAUUUCUUGACUCAUAGUUACAUUACUUUAUGUGAAAGCCUAGAAUAGACCUAAUAAUAGAAGAGCAUUUUUUUUUCAAGACUCAGACCACAUAAUUUUUUUAAGAACUAUAAUUCUCUUUUGGCAAAUAGUAUUGUAUAAACAUUAAGUGUGUAUUUUUUUUUCAUUACUUUCCCAGCAAAAGUCUUAAAUUUAUGACAACAAAUGUUUAGUGUUGGAAUUAUUAGUUGAAAUAAUUAAUUUUCUAAAUAAGUAUAUACGGACAAAAACAAUAAGUAUGGUUACAAGUAUAACAAUUAGACUCAAUACAUGAGUUAAAGUAGUCAAAGAUACAACCUCAACCACAUACGGUAAGUUCGGACAAAUUAGAAUUAUAACUAUAACAAACAAAGAUGACUUCAUUGUAAUCAAACUCCACGAUCACGAGGAGGAAAAGGAGCCCCUCUUCUAAACCUAUCAACCAUAUUCGUUGACCCCUUAAUCAACAAGAUCACUUCAACUUAUAUUUUACUCAUUUGUUAGACUUUCACAAGGCACCCCAUAAAAACUAAUCCCACUAUUUCCCCCUCCACUCUCCCUUUCAAUUCCUCAUAUAAUGGUAACUUGGGUCCACACUCGAUCAAAUUAAAGAUUAAAAUAGAAAAAAAAAUACUAUAAUUAUUAUGAAUUUAGUGAAUUUAGUUUUAAAUAAAACAAUAUGGACCAAAAUAUUUUAAAAUAUAACAAAAUGUUAUUAUUUGUUAUCGGUAUACGUAUUUUCAGCUUAAAACAAAUUUUCCAUAUCAACUGCACAUAUAUGAUAUAUAUAUAUAUAAUAUGUUCAAAUGGGCUGCUACAAAUAUACUAUAAUAAUUUAAAAAUAGUUGUUAGUUAAAUAAUAAUAUAUGAUUUAUGAAGGGGUUUUGAAAGUGAUGGGAAAUAAUACUUUAGUUAGUGCAAAAUUC
rnacentral:lncRNA from 1 species